UUUCUUCUCCUUUCUGUCUUUAUAUUUUAUUCUUGUUUCGUCUCAUGCAUUUUCUGGUUAUUUUUCUGUAUUUCUAGAGGGAAAUGAAUUUAUUGCACUAUCUGAUCUUAAAAAUUAUAUGUAAAAUGACAAAACAACAAAGCCAUACAAGAACUCUCAAGUCAUCACCCAAUACAAAACAUAGUCCCUGCUAGGUACAGCCCAUACCUUACUCAUGAUGUGGACUGUGUAAUGUAGGCUUUGCAGUUAAAUAGUAUAACUCACCUUAUCCUCUCUGCACACAACACAUACCCUAUACAAUUAUAUUAAACAACUUGCAUUCAAUAAAAUAAUACAACUUGCAUAACAUACUCUAGAGGAUUAGUUUUACACACGCUGCAUACUCUAUACAUACUCUACAUAAUCACCAUCCAAUUAAAGAACACAAGACACACUCUACACAGGACUGAAUUAAGAUAUGGGCACACUGAACAGUUGUCAAAGCCCACAGGGGUCUAGGGGCCCAAUUCUGAUCCAUGUAUGCUGUGGCUUACUGUCAAUAAAUACACACAAUUGGGCCCAGAAGUGGGAUUCGCUCACAAGCCUAUGCUACUGUAAAGAGGGCUUUGAUUUGACGUGUUUAACACCAGAUCAGCUUUGAUCAAACAGUCUUAUGAUCAAAGAUUUCCCAAGCAUGACCAUCCAAUAUUAAAUUUAUUAAACUUAAUAUUUAUAUCUCAUCGACAUUAUUUAAUGUGUUUUAAGACAGUAAAUAUGAUUUGAAGAAGAUUUGACCACUAUUUCUGUCAAGUCAAGCAACAACAAAGAGUCUUCCUCAUUAGUCAGUGAUAGUGAUAGUGUAAAUACUGCCAUAGCUUCAACUGAUAAUAAAGCAAAGGUUCUCCAGGAACCCUGACUUACCAACAGCCAUAAAGAAUCUUUUUAUUAGUAAAAUAUUCUAGAUUUAGUUGAGGAACUGAAAUUAGAUUGUGUGAUGUUCAUGUGUUUUGUCAAAAAUAUUUGGUAUGGUAACCAGAUUUCAUUUCCUGGUUCCAAUGAGAAACUGAAAUUAAACUGCUUAUAAGGCUUGCAAGAAGCUUAUCACCAAUCCUAAAAUGAUAGAUAG